rnacentral:rRNA from 1 species
GACGAACGCUGGCGGCGUGCUUAACACAUGCAAGUCGAACGGAAAGGCCCCCAUCUUGGUGGGGGUGCUCGAGUGGCGAACGGGUGAGUAACACGUGGGUGAUCUGCCCUGUACUUCGGGAUAAGCUUGGGAAACUGGGUCUAAUACCGGAUAGGACCAUGGUUUAGUGUCUCAUGGUGGAAAGAUUAUUGUUUUGGUGCAGGAUGAGCUCGCGGCCUAUCAGCUUGUUGGUGGGGUAAUGGCCUACCAAGGCGUCGACGGGUAGCCGGCCUGAGAGGGUGGACGGCCACAUUGGGACUGAGAUACGGCCCAGACUCCUACGGGAGGCAGCAGUGGGGAAUAUUGCACAAUGGGCGCAAGCCUGAUGUAGCGACGCCGCGUGGGGGAUGACGGCCUUCGGGUUGUAAACUCCUUUCGUUAGGGACGAAGCCGCACUUUUUUUGGGUGUGGUGACGGUACCUUUGUUAAGAAGCACCGGCUAACUACGUG